ensembl:lncRNA
UUUUAUUUUUCUUUUUCAAAACUUUAUUAGGUAGACAUUACUAGAUGACAUUGUAAAACCCCUUGUGUGCAAGUGAACGAAUUCUACAAUGCAUGUCUCCCCACAAUAAAUCAAAUCCACUGCCCCCCACUCCCAUAUCUGAAUAUUGAUUCUAAGAUUGGUGGAGUGCAUUCAAAUACUACUUUACAUUCUUCCAUUUCAUCAUGGGGAAGCACUUUUUCAGUCUGUUGCUAACAGGGGCUUGGGAUGUCAGUGUAAGUGAAAGGAAUGCCUUUAAAGGAAACAAAGUACCGUAAGUUUUGUCUUACGAAAUUCAGUCUCAUACGAACACCAGAUUCAUCAGAGUCUUUUAAAAAUUAAACUGCCUACCGUGAUUGUAUUUAGCAAAGUGAAGCAAUACAGAGACAUAUCUACUACUGAAAACUAGUGAGGUAACAUUUUGAAAAUAAAACUGUUAAAAAAUUCACUUACUUUCGAAAGGUCCUGUCCAGCAGGACAAACAUUGGCAGAAUACCUUCCCUUGUAUCCAUGCAUGAACAUGUGCAUAUGCAACCUGUGUCUACUAUAGCUUUUUAAAGAACAAAAUUUUAGUUAUACAUUCAUCAGGACAAGUUUAAAGAUCAGACAUUACUAUGGUAGAUUCAACAGAAGACUUCAAUGAACCAUCUUUCUAGAUCUCCUAAAGGCACUCUGAAGAGGGCAACAAGAAAUAAUCCUUACAAAACAUUGACAUGAACUAAAGCAGCCACAUAGGUAGCACACUCAACAGUGAUUAUUGGUAUACAUUUAAAAUACCAACUUGAAGAUGAAUUAUUUGUAAAAUAUUGCCCAAGACUACUGAAUAUUUUAUGAAAUUAUUACAGCAAAAAUAUCAUUGUUGCAAUACUAGGCAACAGAAAAUAUAGUUUUAGCUAAAUGCAAGACAAAGGUAUUGGGGAAACCUUAUCAGCAUUUUGGUUGUGUGAAUGCUGGUUCUAGGAUAGAAAAAAAUUCAUUUAAGGAAAUAACUAGUAAAAAUAAACUAUUAAGGUGAAAGGAGUAUUUUGACUCAUGGCAUGUUCUAUGUAAUAGAUUAUACAUGGAUCACAUUUUUAAAUCUUGAGAUAAUGCUGAAAUAGAAGUCAUUAAGAUAUGUAAUAAGUCACUUAUAAUUUUAUUGCAGUAUGGCUCUAAAUCAAAUUCCCUAACACCAAAACCUUUAAAUAUGCAAGCUCAAUCCUGACUAAACAGUUACAGUUAAGUGUUCACAGUAUGUGACAGCUAUAUUACCAAUUAGUAACUCUAGGGUGGAGAAAAAGCCCCUUCUACAGUUCUGAACAACUCAAGGGUUUCAGGAAAAAAAAGGGUUCAAAGGGAUACUCAUCUUAAUUUCUCCUGUUUUCCUUUAUAAAUGCUCAGUGGAGGAAAUUGAACAUAUUAAAACCAUCUUGUGAUCAUGAAUCUAUAAAAAAUAAGACUUUCCAAGCAUAAUUUUUCUUCUUACCCCCCCAUUAACUCAAUUUCCUUCUUAUAAUUACCUUUUAUACUUCAUUUUUUGACAGAUAAUUGCUACCAUAAGCUCAUGAAAUUCAAGGUAGUUUUAGAAAUUAACUUAUUCCUGACUUCAAUAAUAGUGGCAUCAAUGUUAGUAAGAACAAACAGAUCCUUUAGUAAGUUUAGAACCGAAAGGGUAAAUUCCACUGCCUUCUGGAAAACAAGGUAAGAAGAAAUAAACCCCACAACACCCAUUUUGAAGCUAUCAGAAGAUGGCAAAAUGAGUAAUACUUUUCCAGAUCACACCUCCCACCCUGCAGUGAAGGGCUGGGCAGAGAUCCCAGAGCUGCGCCACCAUCUUGAUUGAUGGUUUUGUCCACUGAGACACCCACCCCAGAGGAGUUGCAAACUUGUAUUAACAGGAUACGUUAGUUCCAGUUGGAUAACACUGAAAUGCUCUCAAUCUGUUUUAAGUUGCAGUGUACCUCCAUGCGCCAUAUUCCUUGGUGCUUCCACCUCCAACAAUCACUGUGAACAAGGCAGGAGCGAGCCUGAGCUGGCAGGUACAGCCACAACAGGCUGUGCUUAAUUCUCCUUUCUAACAGGCUGCAUUUCUUUCAGUGGUUGAAAACUCAUGGCUUCUUAUGUUGGAGGAGCCAGACUUACUCUAACAACUUAUGAUGCAUUUCCGCAGAAGUCUGAAGGAAGACAUAAGUCAGGAGGAGGGAUGGGGGCAAAAAGCAAGUUAAAAAAACCACAAAAAUGAGAUCAUCAGAAUUAAAAUAAGCAUGCCAGAUUACUUUUAUGAUAGGCUAACUUCUUGCCUAAUACAAUAUUUGUCAACUUUCUCAAUAAACCAAUACUCAUUACUUUGGCUUAAGAGUCCACAGACAUUGCUGUGCUUAGGGGUAUGAACACCUUUCAUUUUUUUCACGCAAUAAGGCACUUACACAUUUUAAAUCCCUCAUUAUACAAAACACUAAAUACUGGAAUUCAAGUGUUGAUUUCAUGGGCAUUGCACUCCUCCAGUUUUUAAAAGUUAUUAGUCAUCCCAUAAAUACACCACAAAAAGUUCCCAUCACUGAUGCAUUUAGCUUGCAUGCUGCCCAAAUGCAGAACUAGAAAUUGCUUUUUAAAUGAAUCCACAGUGUCUGGCCAGCACCCUAGUUGUGCCAGAAGCCUCAACACUAAAAAGGGUGUGAUCUAUUAUCACACACUACCCUCAUUCCUUGCCAUUCAAAUUAAACCUCUUUUAAAGGGAACGCUUCACCCUAAAAUACACAAAACAAGAGAUGGGGGCAAGAGAAGACAUCUCAUUAAACUGUCAUGGAAUUAAAUUCAGCUUGUACUCCUCAGAGAUAAUUUUUUCCUUUUAUCAACACUAUUCUCAUCUCUACCAUAGUGACAAGAAUUAACAAAUACCCAAAAAUGUUAUUUUGUACUCAGAUGGUUAGUUAUGUAACAAAGACGACUGUACUGUUUAAGUAAAUUUUUAAAAAAUUCAAAAUUAAAACCCCUGAAGAAAAAUAGAUUUCAGCAUCUUGCUUUUGAGUAAAUACAACAAAAUUAUUAUUUUGCUUAUAUCUCAGCAAAGCAUUCAUGAAGCAACUUCUUAUACGAUCACAUUUUACAGGGCAAAUUUGAUCAUCCACCAUUUUCACAAGUCAAUUUCAAAUUAUGAAAUUUAGAAUGAGAAGGAGCACAUAGAAACAAAGUGUGUAACAAUGGAAACAUGGUAAACAAUUUAUUAUGAGAUGGUAAACAGUGAAAUGUAAAUCUAUCCCUGUCCUUGCAAUUUCUGGAUACAAACCAGCAGGAUGCAAAUUGAUAUGUAAAACUCUUAAGAGUCCAUUUUUUUAUGCAAAAACAUAGCUCAUGACUAAAGACUGAAUCCAUCUGCUCACCCAGAGCUGGCAUAAGGCAUGAAGAUGUUUUCUGACUGCAUCAUAGUUUUACAGGACAGGUUUAAAACACCUGAACAGCUUCUCUGAAUUCUGUAAAUAUGUUUAUCUUCUAAAAAUGAGGUAAAUGUGGCAUUGUGUUAAUAACGUCAUGCUCUGUGACAGUAAGUUACAAAUUUCAAAAAUACUGUUUUCAGUCUGACAAAUUUUCAACAAGGUGAGAACUGAAUGGGGUUGGCAUGCAAUUGUGUUUAAGACAUGUGCAAAAUUCACAUUAAUGCUAAACAAAUACUUUUA